rnacentral:misc_RNA from 1 species
CUACAAUAAGCACCAAUCAAGGCCGUAUAAAGUUCUGGAGUAGGUUUGAGUCCCUCUUCAAUCAUUGAAUCAAAAAGCUGUUGAGCCUGUCCUGUUUGCCCACAUCUUCCAAGAAGAACUAGGAGCCUCAUGUAAGUACCUUCUUUUGGUUGAUACAAUGGUUGCUUCUUUAACAUCUCAAACACCUGAAGGGCUUGUUGCCAUUGCUUUUUAUCAAUGCAAUCAGAAAG